AGUGGGGAAUAACUCUGGGAAACCGGAGCUAAUACCGCAUAAUCCCGCAAGGGGAAAGCAGCAAUGCGCUGAAAGAGGAGCCCGCGGCCGAUUAACUAGCUGGCAGGGUAAUGGCCUACCAGGGCUUUGAUCGGUAGCCGGCCUGAGAGGGCACACGGCCACACUGGCACUGAAACACGGGCCAGACUCCUACGGGAGGCAGCAGUGGGGAAUCUUGCACAAUGGGGGAAACCCUGAUGCAGCGACGCCGCGUGAGCGAUGAAGCCCUUCGGGGUGUAAAGCUCUUUCGACAGGAACGAUAAUGACGGUACCCGGAGAAGAAGCUGCGGCUAACUACGUGCCAGCAGCCGCGGUAAUACGUAGGCAGCAAGCGUUGUUCGGAGUUACUGGGCGUAAAGAGUGCGUAGGCGGUGCUCCAAGUCUGGUGUGAAAUCUCCCGGCUUAACUGGGAGGGUGCGCCGGAGACUGGAGUGCUUGAGUGUGGGAGAGGAAAGCGGAAUUCCUGGUGUAGCGGUGAAAUGCGUAGAUAUCAGGAGGAACACCGGUGGUGUAGACGGCUUUCUGGACCACUACUGACGCUGAGGCACGAAAGCGUGGGGAGCAAACAGGAUUAGAUACCCUGGUAGUCCACGCCCUAAACGAUGCGUACUUGGUGUGAGCCGUUCAUUCGGUUCGUGCCGGAGCUAACGCGUUAAGUACGCCGCCUGGGGAGUACGGUCGCAAG
rnacentral:rRNA from 1 species